CCCUAGCUCAGUUGGUUAGAGCGCUGCACCUGGAUCGCAGGGCCGCAGUUCGAUUCCUGCCUGAGA